UACGUAGGGUGCGAGCGUUAAUCGGAAUUACUGGGCGUAAAGCGUGCGCAGGCGGUUUUGUAAGCCAGAUGUGAAAUCCCCGGGCUUAACCUGGGAAUGGCAUUUGGGACUGCAAGGCUCGAGUGCGGCAGAGGAGACUGGAAUUCCUGGUGUAGCAGUGAAAUGCGUAGAUAUCAGGAGGAACACCGAUGGCGAAGGCAGGUCUCUGGGCUGACACUGACGCACAUGCACGAAAGCGUGGGGAGCAAACAGG
rnacentral:rRNA from 1 species